GACGAACCGUGCGAACGUUGUUCGGAUUCACUGGGCUUAAAGGGUGCGUAGGCGGCCGAGUAAGUCGGGUGUGAAAUCCCUCGGCUCAACCGAGGAAUGGCGCCCGAAACUGCUCGGCUUGAGGGAGGCAGGGGCGCGUGGAACUUCCGGUGGAGCGGUGAAAUGCGUUGAUAUCGGAAGGAACGCCGGUGGCGAAAGCGACGCGCUGGACCUCUUCUGACGCUGAUGCACGAAAGCUAGGGGAGCAAACGGG
rnacentral:rRNA from 1 species